GGACAUUGUGGCUGAGUGGCCAGGACAUGGGGACUGGGAAUUGGGAGAUCUGAAUUCCAGCCUUGGCUGGGCACUAGUUCACAACGUUGAUUAGGUCCCCUCACCCUUUUGGGAGAUGAAGAAUUUGGCCCCGGCACCUCCUGCAUGGACCUUUAUCUUCUAAUUGACCUUGACUACCAGGGCUUGGUCAGAAAAGGAAGGAAGCGGAGGUUACAGUGGGAGUUCCAAAUAGCUGCUCCAAGAAGUGACUGGGCUUAGGAAUGUUUUCCUUUGUCUGGUCAGGUAGGACAGAGCCCAGAUCCGUGGCGAUCCCACCUUUGCAUUUCCAUGGAAAUCAAGGCCCACAGAAGAAGAAACACAGAUUCUGAAAGGAAGAGAGAAAAAGGCAGACUAGCUAGAGAGCUUGGGGCCUGAGGAACACACAACAUGUAGGCAGAUUGGAGGAUUGAUCAGCCUCAGAUAAGCAUGAACCAGGCUUUUUGCUUGUGAUGCUGGGAUUGAACCUGGGGCCUCAUGAAUGCUAGGUUUACCAAACAUGUAUGCAAUAUGGUAUUUGGCCUCGUGGAAUUAUAUCCUGUGAUAUAUUAUGAUGCGCACCUGUAUCUCUGUGAGCGUGUCACUGCCCCUCACUCCUCCCCGUGAGCACCUCUCCGAACCUCUCUGUCAUGUCGGCUCUGAGAUAGGAACUGGUCUGUCUCCAGUGUUUUGCUGUAAACAUUCUCACACCCAUCCCCUAGGACAUGCCUGUGUGUGUGUGUGUGUGUGUG
rnacentral:lncRNA from 1 species